rnacentral:lncRNA from 1 species
AUGUUUUAUCAAUUUCUAAACAUUAAAGCUUACAAGAUAUCCAAUUAUAUAAAUGAAAACAAGCAUAAAUUUGUAUAGAAUUAAUGUGGAUCACACAACUGGUUUAAUCGUGCUAGGUCCACACACGAAUUAGAUAUGCUUUAUCAAUUUAAGAACAUUAAGAUUUACUCGAAUAUCCUUGGUCUUCAAAGCACCCGAUUCUAGAUAUAUUAUAACCGGAUAAUGUGGUAAAUCUUUGUAAAGUUAAUAUCUGGAACAAUGAGGACUCCACUCUGUUAGAAGAAUACACAAAUCAUAUGGCAAUGGCCUUAGAUGAUAUGGUGGUGUCAACUUUGGUAUCCAUGCCGCACAAUGCCUUUGAACUACAAAAGGAAAAAAAAAAAGGAUAGGUUAUAUAAGAAAUAAACAAAUAGACACAAUUUAGAAAUAAUGAUCAGACUUUGUAACAUUUUUUCAAAUGUGCAUAAAAAGAAGACACAACUACACAACAACAUUUCUAUUUGUUCAAGAUAAGAUUAUGGUUUGUCAUUAUGGAGCAAAACAAAUGAACCAAGUACAACUAUCUAAAUUGUUUUUCUAUACCAUGAUUUAGCUUAUAAAAUUCUACAAUACACAUUCUUACGGGUAUUUGUGAGUGUGAUCUAAUGAUUUGUUAGCCAUGUUUGAACUGCAUUAAUUUAUCUUGGUAUGUUGCAUCACAUAAGCUCAUAAAACAGCAAGCACCUACAAUUAAGUAAAGGCAAUCUAAAAACUAUUGAUAUAAAAACACCCUAGAAUCCCCACGACCAACAUUCUUUAAUUCUUUGUUCUUAUAAACAUUGAAAGCAAACAACGCGUCCAGAAGCCCCAAAGGAAUAUAGGCAUGUGACAAAACAACAAACAGUUGUGAGCACACUAACAAAAGAAGAAGUAAUUGCUAAUAAUCAUCUUAUAUUUUCAUGAUCUGCAUAAUAAUUUGACAUGAUUUGGUGUGCAACCCUGAUAAAGCAAACACCGGCACAGGAACACCGUUUUAUUCUAUGUAAAGUAAAUUGGAAAAAAGAAAGAAGAGAGAUGAAGGAAAACGCUUAUAGAUACGUGAUUCUCAUCCUUGUGGUUUUUCUCUAACUAUGACGGAAGAGAUAGGAUUCAG